rnacentral:lncRNA from 1 species
CUUUCUUAAUGCCUUGCUGAGAUAUUCAGGCUCGGGCUGCCUCAGGAGAGAGGAAGUGGUUGAAUGCACAGAGGUGGCUAAUAAGGUUGGUCACUGGCCCCUGAGGGACGCUAGGCAAUAAGGAAGGUUCUCCCUUCCACACCCUUUCCAGUCUCGCCCUCACUCCUUGUGUCUCUUCCAGAGGGGACACAACAUUCCAGAAUCCCACAGGAAAGAUUCUACCAUCUCCACAGCUGCCCUCGCCGCAGUCCUCCCUACUGUUGGAGAAGAUGCCCCCAAUAACUGGGGUGUCUCGAGCUAGUGGACACAUCAUGGAGCUGGAGUGGACUGUGUCAUUAAGAUCCUCCCAUGGCCUCAUCCUGUGCUGGCCAUCGCUAUGCGUCCAGUAAGGUAAGGAGUUUGCUGAAACAGGCAGUUUCUUCAGAGCACAAUUUUAUCGGGUGACUUGGAUGAACUGGCUUGGGUGUGGGGUGUCCAGAAUGACAAUGUCUCUGUCAAGGGCCCUGGUUCCAUGCUGAGGACGUCUCUGC